UACGUAGGGGGCUAGCGUUGUCCGGCUUUAUUGGGCGUAAAGCGCGUGUAGGCGGCCAGAUAGGUCUGCUGUGAAAACUCGAGGCUCAACCUCGAGCUGUCGGCGGAAACCAUUUGGCUAGAGUCCGGAAGAGGAAAGUGGAAUUCCUGGUGUAGCGGUGAAAUGCGCAGAUAUCAGGAAGAACACCCGUGGCGAAAGCGGCUCGCUGGAACGGUACUGACGCUGAGACGCGAAAGCGUGGGGAGCGAACAGG
rnacentral:rRNA from 1 species